GAUGAACGCUGGCGGCGUGCCUAAUACAUGCAAGUCGAGCGAACAGACGAGGAGCUUGCUCCUCUGACGUUAGCGGCGGACGGGUGAGUAACACGUGGAUAACCUACCUAUAAGACUGGGAUAACUUCGGGAAACCGGAGCUAAUACCGGAUAAUAUAUUGAACCGCAUGGUUCAAUAGUGAAAGACGGUUUUGCUGUCACUUAUAGAUGGAUCCGCGCCGCAUUAGCUAGUUGGUAAGGUAACGGCUUACCAAGGCAACGAUGCGUAGCCGACCUGAGAGGGUGAUCGGCCACACUGGAACUGAGACACGGUCCAGACACCUACGGGAGGCAGCAGUAGGGAAUCUUCCGCAAAGGGCGAAAGACUGACGGAGCAACGCCGCGUGAGUGAUGAAGGUCUUCGGAUAGUAAAACUCUGUUAUUAGGGAAGAACAAAUGUGUAAGUAACUAUGCACGUCUUGACGGUACCUAAUCAGAAAGCCACGGCUAACUACGUG
rnacentral:rRNA from 1 species